rnacentral:rRNA from 1 species
UACGUAGGUCUCAAGCGUUAUCCGGAUUUACUGGGCGUAAAGUGUCCGUAGCCUGAUAUAUAAGUCCGUUUUCAAAUACUCCGACUCAAUCAGAGAAAGGGGAUGGAUACUGUAUAUCUAGAAGUUAUUAGGGGUUAGUGGAAUUUCCGGUGGAGCGGUGAAAUGUGUUGAUAUCGGAAAGAACGCCGAAAGCGAAAGCAGCUAACUAUAAUAAACUUGACGUUGAGGGACGACAGCAUGGGGAG